rnacentral:lncRNA from 1 species
AUGUCGGAUGAUGAGCGCGUCCCUUACCACCUCCUAUCCAGGCAAGGUAAAUGGAAAAGAGCACGGUUGGAAGGCUCAGCAAUUGAUGAAGAUCCGAAUUCAGAUGGCAUCUUAGAAUCUGUCACGCAUCAGUCAAUGAAGCAACUAUAAUCAAUAUGAGCUUUUUGAUGAAUACUUUAUUCUCUCAUUCCAUUCUUUUUUCCAUCACUUGUCAAAUAUAUCAGAAUCAUACUUUAAAAGAAGAGUAGAGUUCACACUCCAUCCUUUAUGUAAAUCUGACUGUCCAUUUAUGUUCUAAUAUGUUCAUGUUCUUAUUUCAAUAUAGUUAUUUUUGUCAGUUUAUGUCAUAUUAUUGUAUUCCUUUGCAUCAUUUCAACCGUUCUUAUAGAAGACACGUUUUUAUGUAUUCAAUUAGUAAUGAAACAAAAAUAAUAGAAUAUUGAAGGAAGAAAGAAAACCUGUUGGAAAAUAAGCGCCGAUAAGAAAUCGGGGCUUAUUUCACAAGUUUCCAUGUUUAAAAUUGAAACGAAAACAAAUUUUCUUUUGUAAGCUCCUAUGUAAAGAAACUUCUAUUUUACAAGUAGAUUUGUAUUCAAAACCUUGUGAAGUGAAGAUGCGCAAAGCCCGUAUCAUACAAUCAGAGCUCUCAAAGUGGCACGUGGGAUCAUGUGACACUCAGAUCGAGAUCCCUCAAAGAUAAUUUUGUCAGGCAUAUGAUCUGCGGGGGUCACGUGACGCCACUUUGAGAGGUCUACUUUGAUUGUCUGAUACGGGCUCAACACAUAAAGAACUCGUAAAAAACUCGCCAAAAAAUAUCGUUGACGAAUUUGGAAUCAUUUCACGAGUUUUUUACGUAAAAAACUUUUGGAUAAGUAACCCGUAAAAAAUAAUUUUCAGUGGCAGCAAUAUUAUCUAACAUGAGUUUCUCACUUAUUUUUCAUAAGCUUUUUACGUAAAAAACUCGUGAAAUGAUUCCCAAUUCGUCAACUGGGAACUUUUUUUUACGAGUUCUGUAUAUG